AUGUUGAUCUAUUUCAUUAUUAUACUCCUAUCAUCAGCUCAAGAUUCCAGAGCUACAGAUGCCAUCACACCAUACAGGGCUUAUGAAUUUGCUUUUAAGGGUGACAAAGUGAUCCUCUCCUGCAACUAUACUGGUUCUGUGCGAGGUCUGCACUGGUAUCGACAGUAUCCAGGUUUACCACCCCAGUUCCUCAUACUGGAUUACUAUGGGACAGUUACUCAUGCAAAACCUCAGAUUGCUGGAAUCUCCAUCGAACACAGAAAAGACGACAGCAGUGUGGAUCUGGAGAUCUCCUCUGCUGCAGUAUCAGACUCUGAUCUUUACUACUGCGCUCUGGAGACCACAGUGUCAGGAAAAGCCUCUACACUGUACAAAAACGAGCUUAAAUAUGACUGUGCAAGGUAG